rnacentral:rRNA from 1 species
CAGCAGCCGCGGUAAUACAGAGGGUGCAAGCGUUAAUCGGAUUUACUGGGCGUAAAGGGCGCGUAGGUGGUUAUGUAAGUGAGAUGUGAAAUCCCCGGGCUCAACCUGGGAACUGCAUCUUAUACUGCGUAGCUGGAGUGCAGUAGAGGGUAGUGGAAUUUCCGGUGUAGCGGUGAAAUGCGUAGAUAUCGGAAGGAACACCAGUGGCGAAGGCGGCUACCUGGACUGACACUGACACUGAGGCGCGAAAGCGUGGGGAGUAAACAGGAUUAGAUACCCCUGUAGUCCCUGUCUCUUAUAC